rnacentral:misc_RNA from 1 species
GAUGAAGAACGCAGCGAAACGCGAUAUGUAAUGUGAAUUGCAGAAUUCAGUGAAUCAUCGAAUCUUUGAACGCACAUGGCGCCUUCCAGUAUCCUGGGAGGCAUGCCUGUCCGAGCGUCGUUUCAACCCUCGAGCCCCCGUGGCCCGGCGUUGGGGAUCUGCACAGGCAGUCCCCGAAAACCAGUGGCGGACCCGUUACAGGCCCUUCCCUUGCGUAGUAGCAUUCGCCUCGCAUCGGGAGCCGGCGGGCUUCCAGCCUCUAAACCCCCAUCAAGUCCGCCCCGGCGGCACCAAGGUUGACCUCGGAUCAGGUAGGAAUACCCGCUGAACUUAAGCAUAUCAAUAAGCGGAGGA